rnacentral:lncRNA from 1 species
CUCGGCCUCCCAAAGUGCUGGGAUUACAGGUGUGAGCCACCACGCCCAGCUGGAUAGUCCUUGAUUAUGCAGGAUUGCCUGUGUGCAUUGCUGGACACUUAACAAACUUCACCUUCACCAACUAAAUGCCAGUAACAUUUCCCAGUCAUUUUGACAACUCUAAAACCACCCUAUAAGACUGUAUUUUCCGCCUGGCGCAGUGGCUCACGCCUGUGAUCCCAGCACUUUGGGAGACCAAGGCGGGUGGAUCAUUUGAGGUCAGGAGUUUGAGACCAGCCUGGCCAACAUGGUGAAACCCUGUCUCUACUAAAAAUACAAAAAUUAGCUGGGUGGUAGUCGUACGCGCCUGUAAUCCCAGCUACUCGGAAGGCUGAGGCAGAAGAAUCGCUUGAGCCUGAGUGGAGGAAGUUGCAGUGAUCCGAGAUUGCGCUACUGCACUCCAGUCUGGGAGAGAGUGUGAAAUCCUGCCUCAAAAAAAAUAAGACUGUAUUUUCAGAGCUCAUUUCUGUAGUUCAUUACUAUGGAAGUUUCUGUAAAUAUAUAGAGGUCUACAAAACAAAAAAGUAAAACCACCAGGUGUGGAGAUAUAUAUAUAUACUUUUUGUAAAUAAUAAUUUUUGUAGAGAUGGGGCCUUGCUAUGUUGCCCAGGCUGGUCUCAAACUCCUGAGCUCAAGUGAGCCUCCCACCUCAGUCUCCCAAGUAGCUGGGACUACAGGUGCAUGCCACCAUUCCUAGCUAAAUUCACUAUCUUUUGAUAUGCAUCAACCAUGAAUGUGGCUAAGACUCUUUGUGUAUAGCUUUUUUUUUUAAUUGUUGUACGCUGGGCACAGCGGCUCAUGACUAUAAUACCAACUAUAUACCAUGCCUAUAUACCAAAUUUGGGAAGCUGAGGCAGGCAGAUCACUUGAGCUCAGGGGUUCAAGACUAACCUGAGCAACAUGGCAAAACCCCAUCCCUACAAAAAAAUACAAAAAUUAUCUGGGCAUGGUGGUGCAUGCCUGUAGUCCCAGCUACCAGGAGGCUGAGGCAGUAGGAUUGCUUGAGCCUGGAGGUUGAGGCUGCAGUGAGCUGUGAUUUGUGUCACUGCACUCCACUCUGGGUACAAAGUGGAUCCUGUCUCCAGGGAGAAAAAAAAAAAAAAAGGUGGCAGCACUAGGACUUAAACCCAUAUCUGCCAAACAUCAUCUCAAGGGGCCUUCCCUGAUCUACUCUAAGGCACCCUCCAUGUCUUUCAGCAUUCGUAUUACAUUACUGUUCUUUUUUCACAGCACUUAUAUCUAUUUGAUUUGGUGUAUUUGUUUAUUUGCACUCAGAAGCCCUCUACCAGCAUGUAUAUCACACAGAAGCAGAGAUUCAAGGGUUUAUUCACAACUGCAUGUCCAAUGCCCAGAACAAUGCCAGGCACAUAAAAUGAAAUUUAAAAAACAUUCAGUAAAUUAUUCUUGAAUGAAGGCCAGGCGCAGUGGCUCACGCCUGUAAUUCCAGCAUUUUGGGAGGCUGAGGUGGGUGGAUAACCUGAGGUCAGGAGUUCAAGACCAGCCUGACCAACAUGGAGAAACCCCAUCUCUACUAAAAAUACAAAAUUAGCCAGGCAUGGCAGUGCAUGCCUAUAAUCCCAGCUACUCAGGAGGCUGAGGCAGGAGAAUCGCUUGGACCCGGGAGGCAGAGUUUGUGGUGAGCCAAGACUGAGCCACUGCACUCCAGCCUGGCAACAGAGCGAGGCUCCGUCUCAAAAAGAAAGAAAGAAAGAAAGAAAGAAAUUUAAAAAAAAAGAAAAUCUCACGUCACAAUAACAAUCACAGAUAACAAACUUGGGCCUGUGGUAGCUUCACAUAUGCUAACAGGAUCUUAACUGAAGCUGUUUAGUUUGGUCCCAAUUUAUACUUUUUUUUUUUUUUUAAGACAGAGUUUUGCUCUUGUUGCCCAGGCUGGAGUGCAAUGGUGUGAUCUUGGCUCACCACAACCUCCACCUCUCGGGUUCAAGCGAUUCUCCUACCUCAGCCUCCCGAGUAGCUGGGCAUGUG